rnacentral:ncRNA from 1 species
AUAAUUAUACUUCUCUACGGAGCUGGCGGAUAACCCGGCAGAGGUGAAAUUCCUAUGA